AUUAGUUUGAGGGAGCUCACUUCAGUCCACUCAUGGGAGGUAGCGGGGAUUGAACGAGCUGCCGAUUCAUUCACUCGAGCACACAGUGGAUACGAGACUUUAACAUCAGACCGCAAUAUUUACUGUGCGAAUGAGCGAAUGCAGCGGGAGAUUGUUCUCUCUUUCCUCCUCCAUGCUUGGACUGAAGGGAGCUCCCUCAUCUCUCAUC
rnacentral:pre_miRNA from 2 species